UACGUAGGGGGCAAGCGUUGUCCGGAAUCAUUGGGCGUAAAGCGCGUGUAGGCGGUUACGGAAGUCUGCUGUGAAAGUCGGAGGCUCAACCUUCGAAAGCCGGUGGAUACUGCGUGACUAGAGUACGGAAGAGGAGAGUGGAAUUCCUGGUGUAGCGGUGAAAUGCGCAGAUAUCAGGAGGAACACCGGUGGCGAAGGCGGUUCUCUGGGCAUGUCCUGACGCUGAGGAGCGAAAGUGUGGGGAGCGAACAGG
rnacentral:rRNA from 1 species